rnacentral:rRNA from 1 species
AUGGGAACGCGAAGAACCUUACCUAGACUCGACAUCUUCUGCAUUAAUCGUAAUGGAUGAAAUCCCUUCGGGGACAGAAUGACAGGUGGUGCAUGGUUGUCGUCAGCUCGUGUCGUGAGAUGUUGGGUUAAGUCCCGCAACGAGCGCAACCCCUACUUAUUAGUUGUCUAACAAUUAAGUUAGUAGCACUCUAGUGAGACUGCCCGGGUUAACCGGGUACGGGAAGGUGGGGAGUGACGUCAAAUACAUCAUGCCCCUUACUGUCUAGGGCUACACACGUGCUACAAUGGUGGGAACAAAGAGAUGCAAUACCGCAAGGUGGAGCUAAACUCAAAACCUCAUCCCAGUUCGGAUUGUAGGCUGAAACUCGCCUACAUGAAGCUGGAGUUGCUAGUAAUCGCGAAUCAGAAUGUCGCGGUGAAUACGUUCCCGGGUCUUGUACACACCG